ensembl:lncRNA
GGGUAUUCAAAAAUAUCUGUUAAACUGCGAGAACUACAAACAGUACAGGAUGGAGGAAUGUGGCUCUUUAAUCGAAAAUAAAUGAAUAAAUUAGUUUUUCUUGUAAAUCUAUAAUUUUCUAUUAUAAACUAACCAGUUUAAUGUCAGAGGAUAUUACAGCUUUUUUUUUAUUAUUUUCUCUCCUUUAGUCUUCAAAUCCAGUUUUUAAAGCAAAAUUGAUUCCUACCUCAGUUUAACAUUUGUCAGUGUGACUUUAAUAACCUGAAGCUCAACACUUGGAGACAAAUACAGGCCAUAGUUUAUUUGUUAAUUUCCAAAAAUGUAACACUUUGAAUGAAAAAUUUCAAAGGUUUUUUUCAACCGAAAUCUCUGUUUCAUAAUGUUUCUUGCAAAUUUCAGACUUUUCUGAGGUUUUUAUUGGACAUUUGAGUUUUAUAACCUCAACGAAUACUUUGGUGCUUUCUUAGAAGUGUACUGAGAAACUUUGUUUUUAACCAUCAAAGAAUAUUAGUUUUUCCCUCUCAAAUUUAGAAAUUAAAACUUUAUGACCUAAAUACAUAUUAGUUUAUUUUCUUGUAAUUUAAAUUUGAUUUUAUUGUAUCAAAAGAUUUAUUUAUUUUUACUCAUUUAUAUUAAAGUUUUUUCCUUCCUAUGAUUUUAUAUUCUCACAGAAUAUCAAUGUUUGGGUUUUUUUGUUUUGUUUUGGGUUUUUUUUUGUUUUUGUUUUGUCUCAGAGAUCAGUCGUAUCCAGUGAAUUAGCAGCCUUAAUCUCAGAGCAUUUUUUGAUAUUAUUACAAGUUUGAUUUCGAUAAAAUUGCAGUUUUCUCACAUUUUUUUUCAACCAUCUCAGAAAUGUUUUUUUUUCGUUAACAUUAAAAUCUAUAAUUUCAUAAUACAACAGAAUAUGAGAAUAGUUCUUGCAGAUUAUGCAUCUUGUUUAAAGAAUAUUACCAUUUGUUCCCACAAAGUUGCGACUUUAGCCUCAGACUUUUCCUCUGAGGAUAAUCGCCCUUCCUUGGCUCCUCUUUUUAAGCCUGACCUAAUGCCCCCAAACACUCAUUUAGUCUUUGAAUGCAGUUUUACGUCAGUGAUUCGUUAAUUCUCAGAAUUGAUUUGGUGCCACUUUAAUAAAUUGCCUGAGCGGGGCUGGAGGAACAGGGAUUAAGUACUGUCUUCACUUCAUGGGGUGAAAGCAGCGCUGAUGCUGUUAACAGGAUUUAGUUGGAGUGCAGUUUGAUUCGCUAAGCUCCUGACGCUGGGAUUCCCUCCUAGAUGACGCCAGUGAAGGAACAUAUCACCAGCCGUCCCGUUUUCUGUGGUUUAACGUUAGUCCUCAUAUUCAUGAGCGGUGCCUGACUGAUGGAUCUAAGCUACUUCAUAUCAGCCGCGUCGGGUUUUCCCACCAAACGCGCUUCCUGGUUCUCGUGUACAGUUUUUCUUUGUGUGAUUUCAGGGAUCUGAUUGGUGCAGGUCUCUGUUGCUUUCUCACGGUCACCAUGAUGAUCAUGAUGAUUCAGUGUGUGUGGAAGUGGAAUAUGAGGAGGACUUGAUGUAUGAUCAAAGCUCUUUAGAGUCGCACAGAUCUUCUUUCUCAGUCGCCUGUUCUGUUCAUUGAAUGUCUCCGUUUAUGCUUUCUGGACACAACAUUAUUCUUUGGGUUUGACUGUUCUUUAUUUAUGAAGAUGUAUGUACUGAUAAUAAUUUAAAAAAAAAAAAAAAGAGAGAGAGAGAACUGCUGUGUUGCAAAGUCUUUCAGAUUUCAUCCACUAGGUUUCCUGUUUGUCCACACUCUGUUCUCAGUUUGUUUUGUAACUGCUGAUAAGUUUAGUCCAAACUGAAGUGAAGAACUUUGGAUCCAGACAGUUUGGAGUUCCACGUUUUCCUGAUCUCAGUAGUUCCAGGACAUCGGUGUAAAAAUAUGAAAAAGCAAUAAAGAUGGAGUGGUUUAAAAAUAAU